rnacentral:rRNA from 1 species
GACGAACGCUGGCGGCGUGCCUAAUACAUGCCAGUUGAGCGCUGAAGGUUGGUACUUGUACCAACUGGAUGAGCAGCGAACGGGUGAGUAACGCGUGGGGAAUCUGCCUUUGAGCGGGGGACAACAUUUGGAAACGAAUGCUAAUACCGCAUAAAAACUUUAAACGCAAGUUUUAAGUUUGAAAGAUGCAAUUGCAUCACUCAAAGAUGAUCCCGCGUUGUAUUAGCUAGUUGGUGAGGUAAAGGCUCACCAAGGCGAUGAUACAUAGCCGACCUGAGAGGGUGAUCGGCCACAUUGGGACUGAGACACGGCCCAAACUCCUACGGGAGGCAGCAGUAGGGAAUCUUCGGCAAUGGACGAAAGUCUGACCGAGCAACGCCGCGUGAGUGAAGAAGGUUUUCGGAUCGUAAAACUCUGUUGGUAGAGAAGAACGUUGGUGAGAGUGGAAAGCUCAUCAAGUGACGGUAACUACCCAGAAAGGGACGGCUAACUACGUG